CUAUUUGAUUAAAGGGGAGAUAUGCGGGAUGGUGCUUUUCAGGGACAACUGUUCUGAUGACAGUUGUCCAGAAUGCUCCGUGGCCUCUGAGCUUGCUUUCUUAGUCUAGUCCUAGUUCUGGUGAUGAUCAUUGGGGUUAUUUGUUGAGCACUUCCCAAGUGCUAAGAACUGUACUAAGUGUUGGGGUUCUGGGUCCUGACAUCUCGGGAUCAAGGAUCUUCUGAUACUCUCCUUGAGAAACUCCACCCGUCUGGUGGAGCAGCAGUGGAACGAGAGGUGGAAGAGAUUCACCAGACUGUGAACUCUCUGCGGGACUGCACUCGACUACCCCAGCACCUCGUAUGAUGCUUCGGGACAUAAUAAGGAUUUAACAAAUACUGCAAAUAUUAUUAGACUCGAUACUUCCAUGUUAGCAAUGCGAUGGAGAGGAAAGCUAAUCCCAUCAGGACUCUUCAGCUACCUCAGAGUCAGCAGCCUUCCUCUCUCCUCUUAUGUGACCCAGCUCUAAAAGUGUUUCUUUUUAAUAAAAAAAAAAAUAAUUCUCUCAAA